rnacentral:rRNA from 1 species
UACGGAGGAUGCAAGCGUUAUCCGGAUUCAUUGGGUUUAAAGGGUGCGUAGGCGGACUAUUAAGUCAGUGGUGAAAGCCUGCAGCUUAACUGCAGAACUGCCAUUGAUACUGAUAGUCUUGGGUUUGGUUAAGGUAGGCGGAAUGUGUAAUGUAGCGGUGAAAUGCUUAGAUAUUACACAGAACACCAAUUGCGUAGGCAGCUUACUGAGCCGACACUGACGCUGAGGCACGAAAGCGUGGGGAUCGAACAGGA